rnacentral:rRNA from 1 species
UAGAGUUUGAUUCUGGCUCAGAUUGAACGCUGGCGGCAGGCCUAACACAUGCAAGUCGAGCGGUAGAGAGAAGCUUGCUUCUCUUGAGAGCGGCGGACGGGUGAGUAAUGCCUAGGAAUCUGCCUGGUAGUGGGGGAUAACGUUCGGAAACGGACGCUAAUACCGCAUACGUCCUACGGGAGAAAGCAGGGGACCUUCGGGCCUUGCGCUAUCAGAUGAGCCUAGGUCGGAUUAGCUAGUUGGUGGGGUAAUGGCUCACCAAGGCGACGAUCCGUAACUGGUCUGAGAGGAUGAUCAGUCACACUGGAACUGAGACACGGUCCAGACUCCUACGGGAGGCAGCAGUGGGGAAUAUUGGACAAUGGGCGAAAGCCUGAUCCAGCCAUGCCGCGUGUGUGAAGAAGGUCUUCGGAUUGUAAAGCACUUUAAGUUGGGAGGAAGGGCAGUAAAUUAAUACUUUGCUGUUUUGACGUUACCGACAGAAUAAGCACCGGCUAACUCUGUGCCAGCAGCCGCGGUAAU